rnacentral:rRNA from 1 species
ACGAACGCUGGCGGCGUGCUUAACACAUGCAAGUCGAACGGUGAAGCGCCUUCCUUUUUGGUGGGUGUGGAUGAGUGGCGAACGGGUGAGUAACACGUGAGUAACCUGCCCCCUUCUUCUGGAUAACCGCAUGAAAGUGUGGCUAAUACGGGAUAUUCUGGGUCUGUCGCAUGAUGGGUCUGGGAAAGAUAUUGUUUCGGUGGGGGAUGGGCUCGCGGCCUAUCAGCUUGUUGGUGGGGUGAUGGCCUACCAAGGCGGUGACGGGUAGCCGGCCCGAGAGGGUGGACGGUCACACUGGGACUGAGACACGGCCCAGACUCCUACGGGAGGCAGCAGUGGGGAAUAUUGCACAAUGGGCGCAAGCCUGAUGCAGCGACGCCGCGUGAGGGAUGGAGGCCUUCGGGUUGUGAACCUCUUUCGCCAGUGAAGCAGGCCUGCCUCGUUUGUGGGUGGGUUGACGGUAGCUGGAUAAGAAGCGCCGGCUAACUACGUG